rnacentral:rRNA from 1 species
GACGAACGCUGGCGGCGUGCUUAACACAUGCAAGUCGAACGGAAAGGCCCUGCUUUUGUGGGGUGCUCGAGUGGCGAACGGGUGAGUAACACGUGAGUAACCUGCCCUUGACUUUGGGAUAACUUCAGGAAACUGGGGCUAAUACCGGAUAGGAGCUCCUGCUGCAUGGUGGGGGUUGGAAAGUUUCGGCGGUUGGGGAUGGACUCGCGGCUUAUCCGCUUGUUGGUGGGGUAGUGGCUUACCAAGGCUUUGACGGGUAGCCGGCCUGAGAGGGUGACCGGCCACAUUGGGACUGAGAUACGGCCCAGACUCCUACGGGAGGCAGCAGUGGGGAAUAUUACACAAUGGGCGGAAGCCUGAUGCAGCAACGCCGCGUGCGGGAUGACGGCCUUCGGGUUGUAAACCGCUUUCGCCUGUGACGAAGCGUGAGUGACGGUAAUGGGUAAAGAAGCACCGGCUAACUACGUG